rnacentral:tRNA from 1 species
GGGCGGUUAGCUCAGUUGGAUAGAGUACUACCUUGACAUGGUAGGGGUCACAGGUUCAAAUCCUGUACCGCCCA